GCCAAGGUUAGCCAUCACUGCGGUAGAGCAUCAGACUUUUAAUCUGAGGGUCCAGGGUUCAAGUCCCUGUUUGGGCA